rnacentral:rRNA from 1 species
AGGGAACUGAAACAUCUAAGUACCUGCAGGAAAGGACAUCAACCGAGACUCCGUUAGUAGUGGCGAGCGAACGCGGACCAGGCCAGUGGCAACAAGUCAGUAAAGUGGAACGGAAUGGAAAGUCCGGACCUCAGCGGGUAGAUAGCCCCGUACACGUAGAAAGCUUGUUGUCCUUGAGUAGGGCGGGACACGUGAAAUCCUGUCUGAACAUGGGGAGACCACUCUCCAAGCCUAAGUACUCGUGCAUGACCGAUAGCGAACAAGUACCGUGAGGGAAAGGUGAAAAGCACCCCGGACAAGGGGGAGUGAAACUAGAACCUGAAACCGGUUGCCUACAAACAGUGGAAGCCCGUAAAGGGUGACUGCGUACCUUUUGUAUAAUGGGUCAACGACUUAGUGUAACAAGCAAGCUUAAGCCGGUAGGUGUAGGCG